UUGAGAAGAAGAAACAAAACAUAAACUUUUACAAUAUAAAGUGAUCAAUAAAUUUCUUUCUAUUGCAAAACUUACUAGAAAAAAUAUGGGCAAAAUUAUUAAGUUUGUUAAUUUAUCGAUCCUCUUUAUUUUCAUGUUUCUUGUUGUAGUUGACGUCAAUGCUGAGAGAACGUGCAAGGAGGAUUUUGAUUGCAGAAUGCGAUAUUGUGUUUAUCCUACUAUUCCACUGUGUGAUGUUAAACAUUGUCGCUGUCGCCGUCCUCCAAAUUUGUGAUAAGAGAUUGACAAUGUAACUGCAGGGGACGGAGUUUAAAUCUCAUAUGAAAUUAAAUAUUUAUACAAUGGUCCUUAAAGCCACUAAUAUAUUAAUAAUAAAUUCUUCUUUCCCAAUAUUUUUGUUGACAUGUAAUUGUUGAUCAUAGUAAUUAUAAUAAUUACUUCCUCCGUCUCAUUUUAA